UAGAGUUUGAUCCUGGCUCAGAUUGAACGCUGGCGGUAUGCUUAACACAUGCAAGUCGAACGGUAGCAGGUCUUCGGAUGCUGACGAGUGGCGGACGGGUGAGUAACGCGUAGGAAUCUGCCUAUUAGUGGGGGACAACGUGUGGAAACGCACGCUAAUACCGCAUACGCCCUACGGGGGAAAGGAGGGGAUCGCAAGACCUUUCGCCAAUAGAUGAGCCUGCGUAGGAUUAGCUAGUUGGUGGGGUAAAGGCUCACCAAGGCGACGAUCCUUAGCUGGUCUGAGAGGACGAUCAGCCACACUGGGACUGAGACACGGCCCAGACUCCUACGGGAGGCAGCAGUGGGGAAUUUUGGACAAUGGGGGCAACCCUGAUCCAGCAAUGCCGCGUGUGUGAAGAAGGCCUUCGGGUUGUAAAGCACUUUUGUCCGGGAAGAAAUCCCCUGCCCUAAUACGGCGGGGGGAUGACGGUACCGGAAGAAUAAGCACCGGCUAACUACGUGCCAGCAGCCGCGGUAA
rnacentral:rRNA from 1 species